GCGCGGGUGGUGUAAUAGUAGCCACGCAGGAUUGAGGUUCCUGUGCCGCAAGGCGUGGAGGUGCAAUUCCUCUCCCGCGCA
rnacentral:tRNA from 1 species